GACGGAGGAUGCAAGUGUUAUCCGGAAUCACUGGGCGUAAAGCGUCUGUAGGUGGUUUAAAAAGUCUACUGUUAAAGCUUGAAGCUUAACUUCAAAAAUGCCGUAGAAACUUUUAAACUAGAGGAUGGUAGGGGUAGAGGGAAUUUCCAGUGGAGCGGUGAAAUGUGUAGAUAUUGGAAAGACCACCGAUGGCGAAGGCACUCUACUGGGCCAUGACUGACACUGAGAGACGAAAGCUAGGGGAGCGAAUGGG
rnacentral:rRNA from 1 species